rnacentral:rRNA from 1 species
GACGAACGCUGGCGGCGUGCCUAAUACAUGCAAGUAGAACGCACAGUUUAUACCGUAGCUUGCUACACCAUAAACUGUGAGUUGCGAACGGGUGAGUAACGCGUAGGUAACCUGCCUGGUAGCGGGGGAUAACUAUUGGAAACGAUAGCUAAUACCGCAUAAUAUUGAUUAUUGCAUGAUAAUUGAUUGAAAGAUGCUAUUGCAUCACUACCAGAUGGACCUGCGUUGUAUUAGCUAGUAGGUGAGGUAACGGCUCACCUAGGCGACGAUACAUAGCCGACCUGAGAGGGUGAUCGGCCACACUGGGACUGAGACACGGCCCAGACUCCUACGGGAGGCAGCAGUAGGGAAUCUUCGGCAAUGGACGAAAGUCUGACCGAGCAACGCCGCGUGAGUGAAGAAGGUUUUCGGAUCGUAAAGCUCUGUUGUAAGAGAAGAACGGGUGUGAGAGUGGAAAGUUCGCACUGUGACGGUAGCUUACCAGAAAGGGACGGCUAACUACGUG